rnacentral:rRNA from 1 species
GACGAACGCUGGCGGCGUGCCUACUACAUGCAAGUCGAACGCAGUGGGGACUGGUGAGUAACACGUGGGUAACCUCCCAUCAGAGGGGAUAACACUUGGAAACAGGUGCUAAACCGAUACUGAUGGAUGCACCCGCGGUGCAUGAGCUAGUUGGUGAGGUAACGGCUCACCAAGGCCACGAUGCAUCGCGGACCUGAGAGGGUGAUAGGCCACACUGGAACUGAGAAACGGCCCAGACUCCUACGGGAGGCAACAGUAGGGAAUCUUCGGCAAUGGACGAAAGUCAUACCGAGCAACGCGGCGUGAGUGAAGAAGGUUUUCGGAUCGUAAAACUCUGUUGUUAGAGAAGCGGUAUCUAACCAGAAAGCCACGGCUAACUACGUGACAGCAGCCGCGGUAAUUC